rnacentral:rRNA from 1 species
UGCCCAAUAGAUCGGGAUAACACCUGGAAACAGAUGCUAAUACCGGAUAACAACAGAUGAUGCCUAUCAACUGUUUAAAAGAUGGUUCUGCUAUCACUCUUGGAUGGACCUGCGGUGCAUUAGCUAGUUGGUAGGGUAACGGCCUACCAAGGCGAUGAUGCAUAGCCGAGUUGAGAGACUGAUCGGCCACAUUGGGACUGAGACACGGCCCAAACUCCUACGGGAGGCAGCAUCG